rnacentral:misc_RNA from 1 species
AACGCACAUUGCGCCUAAGAGUAUUCUUUUAGGCAUGCUUGUUCGAGCGUCGUUUAAACCAUAAGGCUUUGCCUUGCGUUGAUGUAUUGGGGUCAAGUCCAAUCAUCUAAAACAGUUGGCGAAACUGAUUAGUAACCCAAACGCAGCGAUAUGCGCCACAAAGUUCUAAUCUUGGUGACUGCCAAACCACAAACAAACUGUUCGACCUCGGAUCAAGUAAGAUUACCCGCUGAACUUAA